UGGGGAAUAUUGCACAAUGGGCGCAAGCCUGAUGCAGCCAUGCCGCGUGUAUGAAGAAGGCCUUCGGGUUGUAAAGUACUUUCAGCGGGAGGAGGGAUGUUGUGGUUAAUAACCACAGCAUUGACGUUACCGCAGAAGAAGACAACCGGCUAACGUCCGUAGCCAGCAGCCGCGGGUAAUACGGAGGGUGCAAGCGUUAAUCGGAAUUACUGGGCGUAAAGCGCACGCAGGCGGUCUGUCAAGUCGGAUGUGAAAUCCCCGGGCUCAACCUGGGAACUGCAUUCGAAACUGGCAGGCUAGAGUCUUGUAGAGGG
rnacentral:rRNA from 1 species